rnacentral:rRNA from 1 species
GACGAACGCUGGCGGCGUGCUUAACACAUGCAAGUCGAACGGAAAGGCCCUGCUUUUGUGGGGUGCUCGAGUGGCGAACGGGUGAGUAACACGUGAGUAACCUGCCCUUGACUUUGGGAUAACUUCAGGAAACUGGGGCUAAUACCGGAUAGGAGCUCCUGCUGCAUGGUGGGGGUUGGAAAGUUUCGGCGGUUGGGGAUGGACUCGCGGCUUAUCAGCUUGUUGGUGGGGUAGUGGCUUACCAAGGCUUUGACGGGUAGCCGGCCUGAGAGGGUGACCGGCCACAUUGGGACUGAGAUACGGCCCAGACUCCUACGGGAGGCAGCAGUGGGGAAUAUUGCACAAUGGGCGGAAGCCUGAUGCAGCGACGCCGCGUGGGGGAUGACGGCCUUCGGGUUGUAAACUCCUUUCGCUUGGGACGAAGCGCAAGUGACGGUAAUUGGAAAAGAAGCACCGGCUAACUACGUG